UAGAUUCCUUGUGUGAAAAUUUUGUGUAGAUUGUCUGAGAUUAAUAGGAUAAAAUUUGGUGAAAGUCUUAAAUUAGAGGUCAAUUUGCUUGAAUAGGUGUGUGAUAAGGGGCAUUGCACUAAUCAAGGCAUAUUUUUUGAAAUUUAAAAUUUUUCUAAAGGGCUUUUAUGACUCGAGCAAUUAAGCCUACAAGGGUAUCUUAAAACCUGGUGCCCUAAAGUCAUCUUACUUGGGAGCUAUCGGCCUAAAGCUCGUUACAGGGGUCAUUUAAAAAGCAAUCAGAGAUGAAAUUACCCUAAAAAAAUUAUUCUCUUCGAAGCCUUUUUGACUCGGGUAAUUAAACCUGUAAGGGUAUUUAAAAACAUGGUGCCUUAAAGUCAUCUGAUUUGGGAGUCAUCGGCCUAAAGCCUGGUACAUGGGUCAUCUAGAAAGCUUAAAAAAGAGUGCAAAAAAAAAAAAUUACUAUUGCCUUGUAAGUCCCAACACUUGUUCGAGAGAAUUUGACUUUCAAUAAAUGAUAAUUAGCCUAAUUGAAUCUUGGCAGUCGAAGCAAUCAAAUAAUUUGAGAGUCCUUAAUCAUUGAUGUGUUAACCUGCAACUAGUGACAUCCUCCUGAAUUGGAGAGGUGAGGAUAAUGAUGAAAAUUCAAUCUUAGAUCACACACUAGGAAAAGAGUGCAAAAAAGAAUAAGUUUGAGGUGUAUAAAUCUUACGAGAGAUGAUAGGAUAUAUUUGACCAUAGAGGGUCAGGAAUUCGAUCAACUUGUGAAUUCAUUAAUGUCUACUUAGUUCUUCACACACACAUGUCGAUUUUGUAUUGGACAUGAGGAUAUUAGCUUGGUAUUGUAGCUUUGAAGUAGUUUGUAGAUUUCAUGCCGUGAUCUCAAAUCCAUAGGUAAAAAGCUAAACUGCCCAACCAAAUAUUUUUGCAUGAUUGUGUGUUUGUUGUUAUUUAUGUUAUAAUUUUGUUCGAGGAUGAACAAAGGUUUAAGUUUGGGGGUGUUUGAUAAGUGCAAUUUGUGCACUUAUUUAUGCCACAUUAUUAAACUUUUCGUUCGGUCACAUUAUAAAUUUUUGUUUAAUUUAGGUUAAUUUUCUUUGUGAUUUUAGUAACGGAUCCAUUUGCAACAAUUGGAAAGGAAGAAAGACAAAAUCGAGUAAAAUCUAUGAUUUGUGAUUAAAUUCCACAAGUUUGACUUUGAGGAGGACAUUGGCCGCACAAAUAAAAUUGUAUCAAUGAUUAACUUGCAUCAGUUGGAAGAAAUGAGGACUUGAAGAAAGAAUAAUAAUUGGGCCUCAAUUGGACCAUGAAUUGGAAUUUGUUUGCACCAUUAUUUGGACUUCUAAUUAGAUACAAAGGAAGAAGGGUUGCGGCUGUAGGAGAAAUAUAUGUUGAUAGGCAAUUUGGAGGGUGUUGGUUAAUGAUAUAAUUAUAUAUACAAGGCAGAGAAAAAAAGAGAUGGAAGCCCUUUUUAGUGGAGUUAACUUUAGGGAUUAAAAAAAAAAGAGAACUAGUGGCUGCAAUUGGUGGUGCUUGGGGGGAAUAAAAUUUGGGUAGCUAAUUUCAAAAAGAGAUAUACACACAUACCCACAGAAACACGUCUAUUAGGAGCUGGGAGUCAAAAAGAGGAAUUUAUAUACACAAAAAGACAGCUGUUUUGGAGAGAAAUAAGGCUGCUAACCGGUGGAAUAACACAAACAUUAGGCUGCUUUGGGAAUAAACUGCAGACACAUACACCCGCCAACAUUGGGAGGAGGAAGACACAUUAAAAAGGUUACCUGCUGCUGGGAAUUCACAUACACACGCACACAGAAAAAGAGGAGAAGACACGGAAAUAUAGAGAGAUAAAAGACGGCGGUUGGAUGUGGAAAUUGAAGAUACACGCAGAAGGCUGAAAAUUGGAAGAAAAGGGGCAGCUUUAAGUGGAAAAUUAAUCACUUGUCGUCAAAUCUCGGUGAUGUCUUUUCAGUUUUAUUUGUUUAAUCCCAACAUUAUGUUAGGCUAAAUAAUUUCAUGUAUUGGAUGGAUAACAACAUUGUUUAAUUCUUAGUUUUAAUUCGAGACUUGAUAUUUUUAUUUUAAUUCAUGUAUUGUGAUUCCAUUGACAUGCAUAUUUACAUCGUUUUAAUGUUUGCGAACAAUUAGGACAAUAAGUUGCUUAUUCGUAGUGUUGAAAAAUUUACGGUAGGUAGAAUACUUUUAUUGGAACACACGGACAAUAAAUAUUAGGAAUAAUAUUUGUGGCGUGUGCGAUCUUAUGUGAUAAUUUUAAAUAUCAAUGCAUGAUUGCCAUAUGAAGUCGGAUUAGGAAUAGGAUCGACUCGUGGUAAUCAUAUGUUUAUUAUAUUUUGGGAAAGAAUAAUAAAUAAUAGUGGAAUUAUCGAUCGUCGCAACUGCAUAAAUUGAGAUAAUUAUUAUUGGUUGAGAAUUAGAAUUAAGAAUUGAUCAGUAGCGUCGGAAAUCCAAUACGUCCGCACAUAUGAUUUUUACACUAACUUUCAUUGCUUUUACAAGUUUUAGUUAUAAAAAAAAGAAAAAAAUUAUUAUUUAGCUAUUCCUUCGAUUGUCGUUUAGUUACAAAUACGAAUUUAAAUAUUUCAAAUAUACUAAAAUUGAUCAUUAUUCCCUGUGGGACGAUAACUCUCUCAUCACGAUUAUUACUUGUACAACGAACUCGUACGUUUGCAAGAAUUUGACGAACAAUCGCGACCAUCAACUGGGGUAGAAGUACUGAUCCAUGUCCCUGGAAGUACGUCUCGUACAACCUAUUGCUUCUCUCAAUGGCUGUAUCGUCGUCCGUAAUCCUCAGUCCAGUGAUCAAGCUCAACUUAUACAUCGAGAAAUUGACGACUUUGCCCCUAAGGUCGAAAUGAAGGAAAUCGCCGUCGACUGGCCUCAGAAGCCGACAUAGAAGUGUAUCGAUGUUCUGUUCUGAGUACUGGGGUUCUCGCA
rnacentral:lncRNA from 1 species